rnacentral:rRNA from 1 species
AUUGAACGCUGGCGGCAGGCCUAACACAUGCAAGUCGAGCGAGCGGCGGACGGGUGAGUAAUGUAUGGGGACUGCCCGAUAGAGGGGGAUAACUACUGGAAACGGUGGCUAAUACCGCAUACUAUCGGAUAACCCAUAUGGGAUUAGCUAGUAGGUGGGGUAAAGGCUCACCUAGGCGACGAUCUCUAGCUGGUCUGAGAGGAUGAUCAGCAACACUGGGACGGGGACAGGGCCCAGACUCCUAGGGAGGCAGAGGGGGGGAAUAUUGCGAAAGGGGGGAAGCCCGACGCAGCCAUGCCGCGUGAAUGAAGAAGGCCUUCGGGUUGUAAAGUUCUUUCGGUAGCGAGGCGUUAACUACAGAAGAAGCACCGGCUAACUCCGUGCCAGCCGCCGCGGUAAUAC